rnacentral:rRNA from 1 species
CCUACGGGAGGCAGCAGUGGGGAAUCUUGCGCAAUGGGCGGAAGCCUGACGCAGCGACGCCGCGUGCGGGAGGAAGGCCCUCGGGUCGUAAACCGCUUUCAGCAGGGACGAGGCCGCGAGGUGACGGUACCUGCAGAAGAAGCCCCGGCUAACUACGUGCCAGCAGCCGCGGUAAUACGUAGGGGGCGAGCGUUAUCCGGAUUCAUUGGGCGUAAAGCGCUCGUAGGCGGCCUGCCAGGUCGGGAGUCAAAUGCGGGGGCCCAACCCCCGGCCGCUCCCGAUACCGGCGGGCUUGAGGUUGGUAGGGGAAGGCGGAACUCCCGGUGUAGCGGUGGAAUGCGCAGAUAUCGGGAGGAACACCGGUGGCGAAGGCGGCCUUCUGGGCCACGACUGACGCUGAGGAGCGAAAGCUGGGGGAGCGAACAGGAUUAGAUACCCCUGUAGUC